rnacentral:rRNA from 1 species
UUCUUUAAGACCCUAAUUUAAAGUAAAACCUGCUCAAUGAACAAAAAUAAAUAGCCGCAAUAAAAAGUGCUAAGGUAGCAUAAUAACUUGCUUUAUAAUUAAAAGAUAGAAUGAAUGGUUAAACGAUAAAAAUCUAUAUCAUAUAUAAUAAUGAAAUUACUAUUUAUGUAAAAAUUCAUAAAUUCAUAAACAAGACGAUAAGACCCUAAUAAACUUACCAUUUUGUUGGGGAAACAAAUCAAUAAUAAUUUAAGCCACUCAAUAAACAUACCAACAAAUCAAAUACGAACAGUUACUAUAGGGAUAACAGCGCAAUCCCUUUCCAGAGUUUCAUAUCAAAAAAGAAGAUUACGACCUCGAUGUUGAAUUAAUUCACCUAAAUAGCGCAAAAGCUAAAAAAGAUAGUCUGUUCGACUAGUAAAAAAUU